UACGUAGGGUGCAAGCGUUAAUCGGAAUUACUGGGCGUAAAGCGUGCGCAGGCGGUUAUGCAAGACAGAGGUGAAAUCCCCGGGCUCAACCUGGGAACUGCCUUUGUGACUGCAUAGCUAGAGUACGGUAGAGGGGGAUGGAAUUCCGCGUGUAGCAGUGAAAUGCGUAGAUAUGCGGAGGAACACCGAUGGCGAAGGCAGCGCCCUGGACGAGACCUGACGCUCAGGCACGAAAGCUGGGGGAGCAAACAGG
rnacentral:rRNA from 1 species